GGCCAGACUCCUACGGGAGGCAGCAGUGGGGAAUAUUGCACAAUGGGGGAAACCCUGAUGCAGCGACGCCGCGUGAGUGAAGAAGUAUUUCGGUAUGUAAAGCUCUAUCAGCAGGGAAGAAAAUGACGGUACCUGAUUAAGAAGCCCCGGCUAACUACGUGCCAGCAGCCGCGGUAAUACGUAGGUGGCAAGCGUUGUCCGGAUUUACUGGGUGUAAAGGGCGUGUAGCCGGGCUGACAAGUCAGAUGUGAAAUCCGGGGGCUCAACCCCCGAACUGCAUUUGAAACUGUUGGUCUUGAGUAUCGGAGAGGCAGGCGGAAUUCCUAGUGUAGCGGUGAAAUGCGUAGAUAUUAGGAGGAACACCAGUGGCGAAGGCGACUUUCUGGACUGUACCUGACGCUGAGGCGCGAAAGCGUGGGUAGCGAACGGGAUUAGAUACCCCAGUACAU
rnacentral:rRNA from 1 species